AGAUACUGACCCUAAUACUCUGUUGUUAAAACCUUAUUGUUUCAUGAAUGCAUUUUAAACACAAAUGUUUCUUACUGUAAACUUGAAGCAGGGUUGUGCUUAGAUUGAUUUUUUCCCCCAGACCAUCGACAAGAAGAAAAAAGACUUCAGAUUUAUCGAAAAGCCAUGCCCAAACGAGGGCCUGACCCUGCACCAAGAUUUCAACCUCACAGCAGACAUAACAACGGACAAGAUUUUCCCAGAGAAAAUAACCCUCAGCAAUGAUAGCCAAGAAAAGCAACACUCAAUAUUCUUUGACGUGGGCUUUGAGAAUCCAGACAGUAACUUCCACCUUACUCUCUCUCAACUUAACAACUCGGAACCACAGUGUGAACCAGUAUGGAGCUGUGUGAUGCGAAAAGUUGAGUUACGAAGCUCUGGUGAUUCAGAUGUGAAAGAGACAGGUGGACAACCCUCCAUUACUGGUAAGUUAUUUUCUGUCGUCUGACUGUGAAGUGCUACAGAAAAGCUGUUUUUAAAGCAACCUUUGAUUCAAGAUUCAAAGAUGUAUUGUCAUAACUUAAACACAACUAUGGUGUUGUUAAGGAUGAAAAACUUAGAUCACAGGUUCCUCAACAGUGCAAUUACUAC